rnacentral:lncRNA from 1 species
CGUUGCUGGAAGCAAAGAUGGCUCUGAGCACCAUCCUCCAGCGCUUCUCGUUCGAGCUCUCACCGUCCUACAUCCACGCACCGUACACCGUGUUAAUCCUGCAGCCACAGCACGGUGCUCAAAUUAGGCUGAAGAAGAUAUGAGCGUGCUUUCUCAUGGGGCAGUGAAUUUACUUACGUGCUGUGUAUAGUUUAAAUGUUUAGCUUUCGGCUGAAUAAAAAUGCAACCAGGUUUACAUGCUGUGUAAUUUUUAUUUUGAAAUACCUGAAUGAAUGUAAAUGUAGUUUCAGUUGAACUGUCGUUUGCUUCAGUUCAUAAUAGUACUGCAAGUCUGAACUGUCAUUCAAUGGAACUCCUUUCAUCAAGCUGCAGAAACAUAUUACUCCC